GACGAACGCUGGCGGCGUGCCUAAUACAUGCAAGUAGAACGCUGAAGGAGGAGCUUGCUUCUCUGGAUGAGUUGCGAACGGGUGAGUAACGCGUAGGUAACCUGCCUGGUAGCGGGGGAUAACUAUUGGAAACGAUAGCUAAUACCGCAUAAUAGUAGAUGUUGCAUGACAUUUGCUUAAAAGGUGCAAUUGCAUCACUACCAGAUGGACCUGCGUUGUAUUAGCUAGUUGGUGAGGUAACGGCUCACCAAGGCGACGAUACAUAGCCGACCUGAGAGGGUGAUCGGCCACACUGGGACUGAGACACGGCCCAGACUCCUACGGGAGGCAGCAGUAGGGAAUCUUCGGCAGUGGACGGAAGUCUGACCGAGCAACGCCGCGUGAGUGAAGAAGGUUUUCGGAUCGUAAAGCUCUGUUGUAAGAGAAGAACGAGUGUGAGAGUGGAAAGUUCACACUGUGACGGUAUCUUACCAGAAAGGGACGGCUAACUACGUG
rnacentral:rRNA from 1 species